UAAACUCGGGGGCUGGCACGGCACAGGGAGAACGGUGGACGGAGCAAAGGGAGGAGAAACGGAGGGAGAGGAGGACAACUUGCUAGCAAAAUUAUUACAGGAAACAAGAGAAAAUGAUGCAUGUGAUCUGCAGUAUAAAAACAACAUCCUUUAUCUACACAUGCAUCAUGUUGUGAGGGCCAUCAACUCUGUCCUGCUGUGCAGGGUCAUCCGCCUGGAAGACCUGGACCCAAUAAUCACCGGCUUUGCCACCUUGGGCUUCUCCAAAUGCGGGGGCGCCAUCGACGGAGCCCACACUCCGAUCCAUACACCACAUCAUUGAGCCACCCAAUACAUAAAGUACAAGGGCUAUUUCUUGAUGGUGCUGCAAGCUCUGGUUGACCACCGUGGACAGUUCACAGACAUUUUCAUUAGGUGGUUGGCCGGGGUACACAAUGCCUGCAUUUUCUGAAACUCCAGCCUCUACCAGAAGCUGGAGGCUGGCACAUUUCUUCCCCCAGCA